rnacentral:rRNA from 1 species
UACGGAGGGUGCUAGCGUUGUUCGGAAUCACUGGGCGUAAAGCGCGCGUAGGCGGCCCGAUAAGUAGGGGGUGAAAUCCUGCGGCUUAACUGCGGGGCUGCCUCCUAGACUGUCAGGCUCGAGCACGGUAGAGGCAGAUGGAAUUCCCGGUGUAGCGGUGGAAUGCGUAGAGAUGGGGAAGAACAUCGGUGGCGAAGGCGGUCUGCUGGGCCGUUGCUGACGCUGAGGCGCGACAGCGUGGGGAGCAAACAGG